UGUCUCUCCCUGGUGAAUGCAUGCUCCCUAAGGCAAACAAACAAACAAAUCAGUUUAAGGCCUAAUUCCUAACGUCCUUUCAUCUCCCCCCUUCCCACCUCUAGUGUCCUAUGCCAUUUGCGUGCCAGGAACGCCCAUCGCCCAUCCUUCGUCCUCUGUGUCUACCCAUCUCUCAAGCGCCAGCUCAUAAAGCUUCCUUGAAACAGUGCCAGCCAAAUCUGAUUGCUUUCUCCUCUGAACACCAGGCACACUCAGUCUGUACCUUUCUCACGGCACAGCGUGUGGCCUGUCUCAUAUUCUAGCGAUCUGUUUACUAAUCCUGUUCUUCUAACCAGAUUAGAAAGUCCUUGAGGCAGAAACAAAGUUUGCUUCUUCUGGGAGGCCUCCCCCCACUUCUCCAACUCAUCCCCCAGGGGCCAAGCCUGCCACCGGAGUUGUUCAAUAAAUAUUGGGUGGAUUGAACAGAUUCCCUGCCUGUGGGCCGUUUGCAGGCCACUGGAAGAGACAAACAGAGUGUAUGAGGUUAAACAGUAACCCGAGCCAGCAGGUGGCUGGGACUCUCUGAGUCAGUGGCCAAGCGAUGCCACCUCCCCUGAAGUUACCUGAGCUGCUGUGCUGCCUGCACUCCUCCACCCCCACCCCACUCACUGCUCCCUCCCAGUUCGGAGCUGCUGAGAGGAACACUGGGUACAGGGCAUAAGCAGGGAUGGGGAAUUCCUCGCCACAGGACCCACCUCUCUUCAGGACCUCACGAACUCUGGGCAGAGCGGAAGCCAAAGUCAGGGACUGGGAAGGGACAAGCGCUAGUCUUGGAAUGUUCCAGGAGCCCCUGAAAGGAAGGCAGCCACGGUGGAAGCCUGAGGUCCCUCUGGGAGCCUGGCGUGGCUAUGGAGACGGACGUUUUUCAGAGCAGGAGGGAACCCCGUGGAGUACGUGACACGCCUGCCCCUCCAGCUGCACACGGUGUCAGCAGGACAGAGACCCCUCCCCACCCGUCGCUGGGAGUCCCCUGCUUCCUGCUCUGAGGCUGGGAGGCCCUGUCCCCGCAUGUGCACGUGCGCGCAGACACCCGUCAGGCACCCCCUGAGAGGGCCAGCUGCAGCUGGGGGUGGGGUCCACUGAGGACUGCCAGGGCUCCCACCCCCCUGGCCCCCAACUGUGAGCCGCCUCUAGGUUUAAAGCAAAAAGCAAAACCCUGCUUGGUCCUUCCCGCUGCUCAGGGAAGCGGCCCUGCCUGGGGCUAUUUUUAGCAGGGAUACAGGGAAGGCACUUUUCUCCUGGACUCUCACUGGGGAUGAUCCCCACCCCCCAGCCGAGACUCAGGCCGGGGAGAGGCCCAUACGGAAACUCCCCUCCCAGAAAGGGGAAACUGGUGUGUUUUCUGUUCCUUCCACUCACCAGGACAGGAGUUGCAGUCAGGCCUGGGUUACAGGGACGUGAGAUCCUAGGUUCCAAAGCCCAUGGCUCUGCCCCAUCCCUGGGCUCUGGAUCCCUGUAAGCUGGGAGAAGAGGCACUCAGCGUAGAGUUGAGGUGUCCAGUCUGUGAGUGUUGGUGUCCCUGCAGAGACACUUGACCAUAGCCAGAUACUGUGGGCCACUUGGGGGCCACUAGGCAUCGUGAGUGGUGUUUUCACAGGUGUUGGUUUAGAAGUCAUUAAACCAAGCAUGUCAGCUCUAGGUGCUUUUCCGUAUGUGUGUGUGUGUGUGUGUGUGUGUGUGUGUGUCUUUUAAGUGCUAGAAGUACUUUAUUGAGGAAACAUUGACAUUCUUGGGGAACUUCAAAAAGUUCAUGGAAACAGAAUUAAAAUACAAGCUUAGGU